rnacentral:rRNA from 1 species
AUGAUACGCGAGAAACCUUACCAGGGCUUGACAUAUACAGGAAUGUUGUAGAGAUACAGCAGCCGCUUGCGGUCUGUAUACAGGUGCUGCAUGGCUGUCGUCAGCUCGUGCUGUGAAGUGUUGGGUUAAGUCCCGCAACGAGCGCAACCCUAUCAUCUGUUGCCAGCAUUUAAGGUGGGGACUCAGAUGAGACUGCCGGUGACAAACCGGAGGAAGGUGGGGACGACGUCAAGUCAUCAUGGCCCUUAUGUCCUGGGCUACACACGUGCUACAAUGGCCGGUACAGAGUGAAGCGAAACCGCGAGGUGAAGCAAAACGCAGAAAGCCGGUCUCAGUACGGAUUGGAGUCUGAAACUCGACUUCAUGAAGUUGGAAUCGCUAGUAAUCGCGCAUCAGCAUGGCGCGGUGAAUACGUUCCCGGGCCUU